UUCCUACGGGGGGCAGCAGUGGGGGAUAUUGCACAAUGGGCGCAAGCCUGAUGCAGCGACGCCGCGUGAGCGAAGAAGUAUUUCGGUAUGUAAAGCUCUAUCAGCAGGGAAGAAAGAAAUGACGGUACCUGACUAAGAAGCCCCGGCUAACUACGUGCCAGCAGCCGCGGUAAUACGUAGGGGGCAAGCGUUAUCCGGAUUUACUGGGUGUAAAGGGAGCGUAGACGGCGAUGCAAGUCUGAAGUGAAAGGCGGGGGCCCAACCCCCGGACUGCUUUGGAAACUGUAUAGCUGGAGUGCAGGAGG
rnacentral:rRNA from 1 species